rnacentral:rRNA from 1 species
GAUGAACGCUGGCGGCAUGCCUUACACAUGCAAGUCGAACGGCAGCACGGGAGCAAUCCUGGUGGCGAGUGGCGAACGGGUGAGUAAUAUAUCGGAACGUGCCCAGUCGUGGGGGAUAACGUAGCGAAAGCUACGCUAAUACCGCAUACGAUCUAUGGAUGAAAGCGGGGGAUCGCAAGACCUCGCGCGAUUGGAGCGGCCGAUAUCAGAUUAGGUAGUUGGUGAGGUAAAGGCUCACCAAGCCGACGAUCUGUAGCUGGUCUGAGAGGACGACCAGCCACACUGGGACUGAGACACGGCCCAGACUCCUACGGGAGGCAGCAGUGGGGAAUUUUGGACAAUGGGCGAAAGCCUGAUCCAGCAAUGCCGCGUGAGUGAUGAAGG